rnacentral:misc_RNA from 1 species
AGCAGCCGCGGUAAUUCCAGCUCCAAUAGCGUAUAUUAAAGUUGCUGCGGUUAAAAGCUCGUAGUUGAAUUUCGGGAUCAAUAUGUUGGUCGUGCCUUGGUACGUACUAGCUCAUUGGUUUCUCCCUUCUGACGAACCAUGAUGUCAUUAAUUUGAUGUCAUGGGGAAUCAGGACUGUUACUUUGAAAAAUUAGAGUGUUUAAAGCAGGCUCGCGCUUGAAUACAUUAGCAUGGAAUAAUGAAAUAGGACAUUUGAUUCUAUUUUGUUGGUUUCUAGGAUCGAUGUAAUGAUUAAUAGGGAUAGUUGGGGGCAUUAGUAUUCAAUUGUCAGAGGUGAAAUUCUUGGAUUUAUUGAAGACUAACUACUGCGAAAGCAUUUGCCAAGGAUGUUUUCAUU